rnacentral:tRNA from 1 species
GGUGGGAUGGAACUGUGGCUCAGGGAUAGAGCAUUUGCUUGGCAUGCAGAAGGUCCCAGGUUCAAUCCCUAGUGUUCUGCCC